UAGGGAAUCUUCGGCAAUGGGGGGAACCCUGACCGAGCAACGCCGCGUGAGUGAAGAAGGUUUUCGGAUCGUAAAGCUCUGUUGUAAAGGAAGAACGAGUGUGAGAAUGGAAAGUUCAUACUGUGACGGUACUUAACCAGAAAGGGACGGCUAACUACGUGCCAGCAGCCGCGGUAAUACGUAGGUCCCGAGCGUUGUCCGGAUUUAUUGGGCGUAAAGCGAGCGCAGGCGGUUAGAUAAGUCUGAAGUUAAAGGCAGUGGCUCAACCAUUGUAGGCUUUGGAAACUGUUUAACUUGAGUGCAGAAGGGGAGAGUGGAAUUCCAUGUGUAGCGGUGAAAUGCGUAGAUAUAUGGAGGAACACCGGUGGCGAAAGCGGCUCUCUGGUCUGUAACUGACGCUGAGGCUCGAAAGCGUGGGGAGCGAACAGG
rnacentral:rRNA from 1 species